AAUUAUUUAUCAGUUUUAACAAACAAAGUUAUGGUUUGAAUAAUCAAAUGGAUUCUGCUAUGGUUAUUUUUAUGAUAAUAAUAUUACAGAAUGUUUUAGAUUGCAACGGAAUCAGCAUUAGAGAUCAACUACUGCAGCUUUUGAGAAGUAGAAGAGAACAAGAGUUUCCAGAAGAAUCACAAAUCUAUGUAAGAAGUCAAGCCAGCCCAGAAGAUACUCAGGAACCUUAUAUCGAUAAGGUCGCUAAUCAACCAGCUUCACAAGAACGAAAUGAAGA